GAUGAACGCUGGCGGCGUGCCUAAUACAUGCAAGUCGAGCGAACAGAUGAGGAGCUUGCUCCUCUGACGUUAGCGGCGGACGGGUGAGUAACACGUGGAUAACCUACCUAUAAGACUGGGAUAACUUCGGGAAACCGGAGCUAAUACCGGAUAAUAUAUUGAACCGCAUGGUUCAAUAGUGAAAGACGGUUUUGCUGUCACUUAUAGUUGGAUCCGCGCCGCAUUAGCUAGUUGGUAAGGUAACGGCUUACCAAGGCAACGAUGCGUAGCCGACCUGAGAGGGUGAUCGGCCACACUGGAACUGAGACACGGUCCAGACUCCUACGGGAGGCAGCAGUAGGGAAUCUGCCGCAAUGGGCGAAAGCCUGACGGAGCAACGCCGCGUGAGUGAUGAAGGUCUUCGGAUCGUAAAACUCUGUUAUUAGGGAAGAACAAAUGUGUAAGUAACUAUGCACGUCUUGACGGUACCUAAUCAGAAAGCCACGGCUAACUACGG
rnacentral:rRNA from 1 species